rnacentral:rRNA from 1 species
CGAAAGCCUGACGGAGCAAUACCGCGUGAGGGAGGAAGGCUCUUGGGUCGUAAACCUCUUUUAUCAGGGAAGAAACAAAUGACGGUACCUGAUGAAUCAGCAUCGGCUAACUCCGUGCCAGCAGCCGCGGUAAUACGGAGGAUGCAAGCGUUAUCCGGAAUUAUUGGGCGUAAAGCGUCCGCAGGUGGUUUUGAAAGUUUGCUGUCAAAGCGCGGAGCUUAACUUCGUACCGGCAGUGAAAACUACGAGACUAGAGUUUGGUAGGGGUCACGGGAAUUCCCAGUGUAGCGGUGAAAUGCGUAGAGAUUGGGAAGAACACCAGCGGCGAAAGCGUGUGACUGGGCCUGAACUGACACUCAUGGACGAAAGC